rnacentral:rRNA from 1 species
AUUGAACGCUGGCGGCAGGCCUAACACAUGCAAGUCGAACGGUAGCACAGAGAGCUUGCUCUCGGGUGACGAGUGGCGGACGGGUGAGUAACGUCUGGGAAACUGCCCGAUGGAGGGGGAUAACUACUGGAAACGGUAGCUAAUACCGCAUAACGUCGCAAGACCAAAGUGGGGGACCUUCGGGCCUCACACCAUCGGAUGUGCCCAGAUGGGAUUAGCUAGUAGGGGGGGUAAUGGCUCACCUAGGCGACGAUCCCUAGCUGGUCUGAGAGGGUGACCAACCACACUGGAGCUGAGACACGGUCCAGACUCCUGCGGGAUGCAGCAGUGGGGAAUAUUGCACAAUGGGCGCAAGCCUGAUGCAGCCAUGUCGAGUGUAUGAAGAAGGCCUUCGGGUUGUAAAGUACUUUCAGCGGGGAGGAAGGCAGUGAAGUUAAUAGCUUCACCGAUUGACGUUACCCGCAGAAGAAGCACCGGCUAACUCCGUGCCAGCCGCCGCAGUAA